rnacentral:misc_RNA from 1 species
AACGCACAUUGCGCCCCCUGGUAUUCCGGGGGGCAUGCCUGUUCGAGCGUCAUUACAACCCUCAAGCUCUGCUUGGUAUUGGGCUCUGCCGGUCCCGGCAGGCCUUAAAAUCAGUGGCGGUGCCAUUCGGCUUCAAGCGUAGUAAUUCUUCUCGCUUUGGAGGCCCGGGUGUGUGCUUGCCAGCAACCCCCAAUUUUUUCAGGUUGACCUCGGAUCAGGUAGGGAUACCCGCUGAACUUAA